UAAAAUCACAUGACUGUUAGGAACAUCUAGAGCUGUCUCAUCCAGAAUCAUUUAUCUGACGACAGUGGUCAAUAAUAGAUGCUUCAGAGCAAGGUGCAGGAAACCCCUUACUAGAUAACUAUAGAAUAACCUGUCCAUAGAGCUAAUUUCUUCCUAAUCCCUGUCAGAUAGUGGUUGGUUUGUGUCCUGAAGCAUGAAAGUUUAUAUCCUUACCUUUUUUUUUAAGUAUCCCAUCUAAUCUAACUGAAUGUUCUCAUUAUCCAUGUAUAAAUCAAAUCCUUUAAAAAAUGUUAAUUAGCACUUGAUACAUUGUUGUAAGUGUUCCUCAGGCUAGCUAUGCAUUGUGUAAAUAUUUCCCUUUCAGUUUUGAAUUUGCUGCCUUUGUUUCAUUGAGUGUCUCCUUGGUCUCGUGUUAUGGGAAAGGGUAAAUGGGACUGCUCAAUUUACCUUUGCUAUAUUAUUCAUUAUAUUGUAUAGCUUUAUCUUCUUCCUGAGUUUUUUCCCCUUUCAACUGAAUGGUCCCAAACUAUUUAACAUAUGAAAGUCUUUCCAUGCCUCUAUUUGUAUUAAUCCAGCCUCCAUCUAUUUCUGCUAUGCCCUUUUUGAGAUGGAAUGACUAGAAAAAAAAGUGUUCCCAAUGAGCAUGUACCACUGUUUUAUACUAUACUGGUAAACCACUGAGAGGAUAAUCUCCCAGCAUCUUGAUUUAGUGGCUGUGAUUAUAGAUGGACUAAAAUUAAAACCUUGAAAAUGGACCCUGGAACGUGAAAGCACCCCAUUCACUUUUGGUUCCUGGUUGGAUCCAAACCCAGAAUGGUUCUAUUUUCCUAUUUGGGGAGGAUUCAAGCAAAAUCUCAGCCCUUCUCAUUAGAUGUUGGCUCAAGGUGUUAGGAUCUUGGAAGAACAGCUGAUUUUAUGAACUAUCACCUUUCAGUGUUUAUAAAAAUUAAUCAGAACAAUUUGACAUUUCAGUUCCCUCUACUGUAAACCUGAACCUUCACCAUCAGCCUUGAACUCUAAUGUAAACCUAAUUUGGAUCCACAUCUGAACACUGCCAGUUUACAACAGAUAUCUUUAUACUUUGAUUUGUGAAUUUCAUCGAGGAAAUAGGUUCUUUACAAUCAAAUACAAUAUUUUGAUAUUUCUAACCUUAUUCUAUAUGCAUAUCAUAUGUGUAAUAGAGAGCUGAAUUCUAUUCUUUAAGCAGAUUGGUUGAAAUCUAUUUAAUAGGCAAAGAACCUGUAAUUAAAAAGGAGUAUAAUUUAAUAGAGGCUAUAAGAAAUGAAUGAGAAUGACCUACUGGUUGAAACACAACACUGGGUGGCAGGAGAGCUGAAUCCUAUUGCUAGUUUUGUGCUUCACUUUUUUACCUGUGAAACCUAAAGUCUGUUGUCUGUGUACUAAGAUUCCAAGCUCUCAGAGCAAAGAUAGUGACUUCUUUUGUGUCUUGUACAGCACCAAGCAUUUAGUCUAUAUGUAAUUAAUUAGUAAUAAUAAAACAGGUAAUUUUGCA